rnacentral:rRNA from 1 species
UACGGGGGAGGCAAGCGUUAUCCGGAAUCAUUGGGCGUAAAGCGUCCGUAGGUGGUUAACCAAGUCUUUUGUCAAAGCGCGGGGCUUAACUUCGUAACGGCAGGGGAAACUGGUGAACUAGAGUGCGGUAGGGGUAGAGGGAAUUCCCAGUGUAGCGGUGAAAUGCGUAGAUAUUGGGAAGAACACCGGUGGCGAAAGCGCUCUACUGGGCCUGCACUGACACUGAGGGACGAAAGCUAGGGGAGCGAAAGGG